rnacentral:lncRNA from 1 species
AACCCCCCCAAAACCAGCCCUGGGAGGGGGAAGGCGGCCCCAAAAUCGCCCUUUUUCGCCCCAAAUCCUUUUCGUUGCUCUCUUCCCGCCUCCAAAAUGGCGGCGGCGAGGGGGCGUGGCCUGACGAGGGGGCGUGGCCUAAUGGGGGCGUGGCCUGACGAGGGGGCGUGGCCUAAUGGGGGCGUGGCCUGCUGAGGGGGCGUGGCCUAAUGGGGGCGUGGCCUGCUGAGGGGGCGUGGCCUAAUGGGGGCGUGGCCUGCUGAGGGGGCGUGGCCUAAUGGGGGCGUGGCCUAAUGGGGGGCGUGGCCUGUUGCUGACCCCGCCCCCUGCCACGCCCAGGCGGCCUCGGAGGCUCCUGAUUCGUUCCUGCUCUUCGAUGACGACGACGACGAGGAGGAGGCGGAGCCAAUGGACGAUGACGUCAGCAGCGACGAGGAGGCGGAGCUAAUCGAGGUGGAGGUGGGCGGAGCCUACGCGGCCGAGGUGGAGGACGCCUGCGAGGCCCUGGGGGAGGUCGCGGAGCACAGCGGCGCCGCCUUCCUGCCCUACCUGGACGCCAGCCUGGAGGCGGUGAUGGGGCUGCUGGCGGUGAGGCCCCGCCCCUUCCCGUGACGUCACCGCCCCGGCGAUGACGUCACGCCCUGGCGAUGGCGUCACCGCCCCGGUGAUGACGUCAUCGCCCCCGUGAUGACGUCAUCGCCCCCCCCCAGUUCCCCCUGGCCGACGUCCGCGCCGCCGCCUACCAGGCCCUGGGCAGCCUCUGCCUGGGGGCGGGGCGAGCGCGAGGCCACGCCCCCAAGGAAGGUGAGGCCCCGCCCAC